rnacentral:rRNA from 1 species
UACCAGCACCCCGAGUGGUCGGGACGAUUAUUGGGCCUAAAGCAUCCGUAGCCGGUCAUGCAAGUCUUCCGUUAAAUCCAGCCGCUCAACGGUUGGGCUGCGGAGGAUACUACGUGGCUAGGAGGCGGGAGAGGCAAGCGGUACUCAGUGGGUAGGGGUAAAGUCCUUUGAUCCAUUGAAGACCACCAGUGGCGAAGGCGGCUUGCCAGAACGCGCUCGACGGUGAGGGAUGAAAGCUGGGGGGAGCAAACCGG